UACAGAGGGGGCGAGCGUUAUUCGGAAUUAUUGGGCGUAAAGGGCGCGUAGGCGGCUUUGCAAGUGACGGGUGAAAGCCCUCGGCUUAACCGAGGAACUGCCUGUCAGACUGUGAGGCUUGAGACCGGGAGAGGUGAGUGGAAUUCCCAGUGUAGCGGUGAAAUGCGUAGAUAUUGGGAGGAACACCAGUGGCGAAGGCGGCUCACUGGACCGGAACUGACGCUGAGGCGCGAAGGCGUGGGGAGCGAACGGG
rnacentral:rRNA from 1 species